CCUACGGGCGGCAGCAGUAGGGAAUAUUGGGCAAUGGGCGCAAGCCUGACCCAGCAACGCCGCGUGAAGGAAACGGGCUUUCGGGUUGUAAGCUUCUUUUAAGAGGGCGGAACAGAAGGCGAUACAUCUUGAAUAAGCCACGGCUAACUACGUGCCAGCAGCCGCGGUAAUACGUAGGUGGCAAGCGUUGUCCGGAGUUAGUGGGUGUAAAGGGCGUGCAGCCGGGAAGACAAGUCAGAUGUGAAAUGCAGCGGCUCAACCGCGGAACUGCAUUUGAAACUGUUUUUCUUGAGUACCGGAGAGGUAAACGGAAUUCCUGGUGUAGCGGUGAAAUGCGUAGAUAUAAGGAAGAACACCAGUGGCGAAGGCGGAUGACUGGACGGCAACUGACGGUGAGGCGCGAAAGCGUGGGGAGCAAACAGGAUUAGAUACCCCAGUAGUC
rnacentral:rRNA from 1 species